CAGCAGCCACGGAAAUACGGAGGGCGCGAGCGUUACCCGGAUUUACUGGGCGUAAAGGGCGUGUAGGCGGCCUGGGGCGUCCCAUGUGAAAGGCCACGGCUCAACCGUGGAGGAGCGUGGGAUACGCUCAGGCUAGAGGGUGGGAGAGGGUGGUGGAAUUCCCGGAGUAGCGGUGAAAUGCGCAGAUACCGGGAGGAACGCCGAUGGCGAAGGCAGCCACCUGGUCCACUUCUGACGCUGAGGCGCGAAAGCGUGGGGAGCAAACCGGAUUAGAUACCCCGGUAGUCCCUGUCUCUUAUAC
rnacentral:rRNA from 1 species